UUUUGCACCUUUCACAUAGCCACAAUUGAUUGGUUUAUGGGAUUAAAUGACAAGAGAUUUGAAGGAAAUUGGAAAUGGACAGAUACAAAUGCGCCUGCCAAUUUUAUAAAAUGGGCUACUGGGCAACCUGAUGGUAUCACACGACAGAACUGUGUUGUAUACCAUGUGAAGAAUAACAAUCGCUGGCAUGAUACAGAAUGUGAAAGUAAAUGUUCGGUCAUUUGCAAGAAAAAUAAUCAACGAAUAAAUUGAACUACAUUCAUUCUCAAUAACAUCAAUGUGUUUCUUCGAACUCUGUCACCGAUAUAGAGCAAUGUAAGAUACAUGUACACACUUUUAACUUUUGGAUAAAGCCUCCUUUGAUACAUAAAAAACAUUUUUCAAUCUUGUUCAUGUAUCAAAAUAUUGAGGCGAUUUUAUAAUACGUUUAAGAAUGUAAAUCUAUUUACAAUCAUAAGAUAUAUAAAUGCUUUUCGUCAUGCUAUAUAUAGACUACUCUUUUAAUCCACUUUUCAGUCACAAUUAAUUAACACAUUUACAUGAGAACGUAACAUAAUAACAUACGAUUACUAAUUAUAUAUGCACUUACUUACGGAUCCAUGAAUUACCAAAGCUAGACAAAAAUAAUGUUUGCAGUUUUUUGAAAAUCUACAUUUUAGGCUAUGUAAUAAAAAGAAGUAUA